rnacentral:rRNA from 1 species
UUCGAUUCUGGCUCAGAUUGAACGCUGGCAGGAUGCUUUGCACAUGCAAGUCGAACGGCAGCACGGACUUCCGGUCUGGUGGCGAGUGGCGAACAGGUGAGUAAUGUAUCGGAACGUGCCUAUUGGCGGGGGAUAACUACGCAGCCAGCCAGCUAAUACCGCAUACGCCCUUCGAGGAAAGCAGGAAAGGACCUUCGGGCCUCGCACUAAUGGGAAACGGCCGAUAUCGGAUUGGCUAGUUGGUGGGAUAACGGCUCACCAAGGCGACGAUCCGUAGCUGGUUUGAAGGACGACCAGCCACCUGGGACUGAGACCUGGCCCAGACUCCUACGGGAGGCAGCAGUAGGGGAAUUUUGGACAAUGGGGAAACCUGAUCCAGCCAUCCGCGUGUGCGAUGAAGGCCUUCGGGUUGUAAGCACUUUUGGCAGGAAAGAAACGGCACGGGAUAAUACCCGUGCAACUGACGGUACCUGCAGAAUAAGCACCGGCUAACUACGUGCCAGCAUGCACGGUAACUACGUAAGGGUGCAAGCGUUAAUCAGAUGCUGGGCAACAAAGCGUGCGCAGGCGGUUCGGAAAGAAAGUGUGAAAUCCAGUGACUUAACUUUGGAACUGCAUUUUUAACUGCCGAGCUGGAAGUGUCAGAGGUGGAAUUCCGCGUGUAGCAGUGAAAUGCGUAGAUAUACGGAGGAACACCGAUGGCGAAAGGCAACUCCUGGGAUAACUUUGCUCUUUUUUAACUUGAAAGCGUGAGGCAAACAGGACCGUUUCCCUGGUAGUCCACGCCUAAAGCAGUGUCAACUGGCUGUUGGGGCCUUCGGGCCUUGGUGGCGCAGCUAACGCGCGUGAAGUUGACCGCCUGGGAAAUGCAGUCACUAAAGGUCAAAACUCAAGGAAUUGACGGGGACCCGCACAAGCGGUGGAUGAUGUGGAUUAAUUCGAUGCAACGCGAAAAACCUUACCCCUACCCUUGACAUGUCUGGAAUCCCGAAGAGAUUUGGGAGUGCUCGCAAGAGAACCGGAACACAGGUGCUGCAUGGCUGUCGUCAACUCGUGUCGUGAGAUGUUGGGUUAAGUCCGCAACGAGCGCAACCCUUGUCAUUAGUUGCUACGAGGAGCACUCUAAUGAGACUGCCGGUGACAAACCGGAAGGUGAGAUGACGUCAAGUCCUCAUGGCCCUUAUGGUGGGCUUCACACGUCAUACAAUGGUCAGGACAGAGGGUCGCCAACCCGCGAGGGUUCAAUCCCAGAAACCCGAUCGUAGUCCGGAUCGCAGUCUGCAACUCGACUGCGUGAAGUCGGAAUCUUUAACAAUCGCGGAUCAGCAUGUCGCGGUGAAUACGUUCCCGGGUCUUGUACACACCGCCCGUCACACCAUGGGAGUGGGUUUGCAAAGUAGUUAGCCUAACCGUAAGGAGGGCGAUUACCACGGUAGGAUUCAUGACUGGGGUGAAGUCGUAACAAGAGUAGCUCUGUUGC